rnacentral:rRNA from 1 species
AGUGAACGCUGGCGGUAGGCCUAACACAUGCAAGUCGAACGGCAGAACAGUAAGAGCUUGCUAUUACGGGUGGCGAGUGGCGGACGGGUGAGGAAUACAUCGGAAUAUACAUUUCCGUAGGGGAUAACGUAGGGAAACUUACGCUAAUAACGCAUACGACCUACGGGUGAACGCAGGGGCACUUCGGACCUCGCGCGACAGAAUGAGCCGAUGUCGGAUUAGCUAGUUGGCGGGGUAAAGGCCCACCAAGGCGACUAUCCGUAUCUGGACUGAGAGGAGGAUCAGACACACUGGAACUGAGACACGUCCCAAACUCCUGCAGUAGACAGCAUUGAUGAGUAGUGGACAAUGGGCGCAAGCCGGAUCCUGCCAUACCGCGUGGGUGAAGAAGGCCUUCGGGUUGUAAAGCCCUUUUGUGAGGAAUGAAAAGCAACAUGUUAAUACCCCGCUGUUCUGACGUGGCCCUAAGAAUAAGCACCGGCUAACUUCGUG